UGGGGAAUAUUGCGCAAUGGGCGGAAGCCUGACGCAGCGACGCCGCGUGGGGGAUGACGGCCUUCGGGUUGUAAACCUCUUUCGACCUUGACGAAGCCUUCGGGUGACGGUAGGGGUAGAAGAAGCACCGGCCAACUACGUGCCAGCAGCCGCGGUAAUACGUAGGGUGCGAGCGUUGUCCGGAAUUAUUGGGCGUAAAGAGCUCGUAGGCGGUCUGUCGCGUCGGUCGUGAAAACUUGGGGCUUAACCCUGAGCUUGCGGUCGAUACGGGCAUGACUGGAGUUCGGCAGGGGAGACUGGAAUUCCUGGUGUAGCGGUGAAAUGCGCAGAUAUCAGGAGGAACACCGGUGGCGAAGGCGGGUCUCUGGGCCGAUACUGACGCUGAGGAGCGAAAGCGUGGGGAGCGAACA
rnacentral:rRNA from 1 species